rnacentral:rRNA from 1 species
AUUGAACGCUGGCGGCAGGCCUAACACAUGCAAGUCGAGCGGAUGAAGGGAGCUUGCUCCUGGAUUCAGCGGCGGACGGGUGGGUAAUGCCUAGGAAUCUGCCUGGUAGUGGGGGAUAACGUCCGGAAACGGGCGCUAAUACCGCAUACGUCCUGAGGGAGAAAGUGGGGGAUCUUCGGACCUCACGCUAUCAGAUGAGCCUAGGCCGGAUUAGCUAGUUGGUGGGGUAAAGGCCUACCAAGGCGACGAUCCGUAACUGGUCUGAGAGGAUGAUCAGUCACACUGGAACUGAGACACGGUCCAGACUCCUACGGGAGGCAGCAGUGGGGAAUAUCGGACAAUGGGCGAAAGCCUGAUCCAGCCAUGCCGCGUGUGUGAAGAAGGUCUUCGGAUUGUAAAGCACUUUAAGUUGGGAGGAAGGGCAGUAAGUUAAUACCUUGCUGUUUUGACGUUACCAACAGAAUAAGCACCGGCUAACUUCGUG